UACGUAGGUGGCAAGCGUUGUCCGGAAUUAUUGGGCGUAAAGCGCGCGCAGGCGGUUAUGUAAGACUGAUGUUAAAGCCCGGGGCUCAACCCCGGGUCGCAUUGGAAACUGUGUAACUUGAGUGCAGAAGAGGAAAGUGGUAUUCCACGUGUAGCGGUGAAAUGCGUAGAUAUGUGGAGGAACACCAGUGGCGAAGGCUACUUUCUGGUCUGUAACUGACGCUGAGGCGCGAAAGCGUGGGGAGCAAACAGG
rnacentral:rRNA from 1 species